rnacentral:misc_RNA from 1 species
GUACCUCUGCCUCUAAUAGCG